rnacentral:rRNA from 1 species
UAAAUAGCCAGGCCGGCUUUUGCUGGUCGCCGGCUUCUUAGAGGGACUGCGGUUGCGUCUAGCCCGCGGAAGUUUGAGGCAAUAACAGGUCUGUGAUGCCCUUAGAUGUUCUGGGCCGCACGCGC